AAUAACUCUGGUUGUGCUGCUUGAGUCGACUAGUGUAUGCACCACACAAUGAACUGGAAGUGGACAGGGAACUUGAUGGUUUUGAUUUGUUUAUCUCUACUCCUUUUUAUUGAGACCGUCCUUCACCUACUGCCAGUACAGAGCCAACUAUGGCAAAUCUGUUUUUUGAGUUGUUAUAUAGUAGGAAGCUAUUGUUAAAGCCACAUAGUGACCACCUAUAAAUUUCAUCUAUUUUGCACAAGAUCUGAGGAAAUAGGAAAUUUUCUGUGUGGUGAUAUCGCUUAGAGAGUUAAAGAUACAAAUGAAGAUCAGAAUAUUCAGGAUUUUAAGAAUAGAACUUAAAUCAAAGCGCUGUAAGCGCUGAAGGCAGUUAACCAAAAACCAAGGCAACCGUAAUUAUGAAAACUGUGGCAAAGUUGCCUCAACAUUAAACAUUCAUAUAUAGUACAUUUAUGUUUAUCUAAUGAUUUAUUUAUUAAGGCAAAUAAUUUAUAUGUUAUCAAGGUUUCAAAAGCAAUGCAUAUAGCAAUGUAUAUUUUUUAUGGUGAGUCUGCAGUGGUACAAGUUCCCAAUGAUUGCAGUUGUUCUACUUGGUAGUUAACCUUGGUUUUAUUUGACUGCUAGAAGUUCAAGUUGACUUAGUAUGAACAUGUAAUAGUAUGAAUGGACUGGUUUCCCUGAAAAGAAAACUGAAUUUGUGUUCUAUAGUACAAAAGUUAUGAGACACGAAUCAGACAAAUGUUCACUACAACAGGAAUCAAAGGUGAGGUCUGACCGACUUACCCAUAGUAAAUGUAAAUGAUUUUUUUUUUUGUCCCAUACAUAUGAAUAUAUAUAUAAUUUAGGGGUGGGGAUCUCAACGGUUUUCAAGUUCUCAAACAGGUAGGAGGGGAGAGGAUUUUUUUGGGAAAAAAAAUGGUUGCUUAUAUAGGGAAUCACUGAAGCGUGACUGGGAGCGAGCCCCCUCUUAGGUCAGUCAGUGGGCCCCACUUAUGAAAAUUUCUGGAUCCGCCACUGGGGUUAGGGUGACCCUAGGGAUUCCCCUAUAUUUCAUUUAAUUAGUUAUAUUGGCCCAUAUAUGAAUAUAUAUUGUUUUGGUGUGGGGAUCUCGACCGUUUCCAAGUUCUCAAAUAGGAGGGUUAGGGUGACCACAGGGACUUCCCCUAUUUCAUGUGAUUUGUUAUAUUGUCCCAUACAUGAGUAUAUAUGGUUUAGGGUGAGGAUCUUGACCAUUUCCAAGUUCUCAAACAGGAGGGUGUACAGUGACCCCAGGGACUCCCCUAUCUUUCAUUUGAAUUGUUAUAUUUUCCCGUACAUGAAUAUACAUGGUUAAGAGGUGGGGAUCUCAACGGGUUUCAAAUUCUCAAACAGGAGGGGUGGGGUGACCCAAGGUACUCCCCCUAUAUUUCAUCUGAUUUGUUAUAUUGUCCCAUACAUGAAUAUAUAUGGUUUAGGGGUGGGGAUCUCGACCAUUUUUAAAUUAUAAAACAGGAGGGGUGGGGUGACCCAAGGGACUCCCCCUAUAUUUCAUCUGAUUUGUUAUAUUGUCACAAACAUGAAUAUAUAUGCAAAGCAUGGGUUGUUCUCAGCUUAAUAAAGAAUAUUCCGAUAAUUUUACCUCAAAGUUUUUUAGCCUCGCUCGGCUCGGAGAAAAUUUAAGUUUGCGCCCCUCCUAAACUAAAAUCCUGGAUCUGCCCCUCAUAUGGUUUAGGGGUGGGGAGCUCAACCGUUUCCAAGUUAUUAAACAGGAGGGGGUAGAGUGGCCCAAAGGAUGCUACCUAUAUAUCAUAUGAUUUACUUACAUUCAGGUAUAUAUAAUAUAGUUGCAUUAUUUGUGAAAAUAAAGAAAGAAACUUUCAGCUACUUUAAUUGACCCUUCAAAAUUGAGUUAAAAAAAUAACCCUUCGAAAUUGCAGUAAUAUGUUUACACUUAAAAAGCAUCUCACAUGCAUUAUCAUCAUUUAUCACUGAUAAAGAAAAUUUAGACUGUGACCAUGAACAUGUAUAUUGUUAGAUAUACUGUUCCCA
rnacentral:lncRNA from 1 species